AUGCUCAUGCACCUUUGAGACCGUACUCGCCGCCUCGCUUUCUGGCUUCAGGCUGUUUUUAAUGCAGCAAUUAGUAGCCUGUUCCUUUGACUCAUACAAAGUGAAAAGAGCAGAUGGAGGGUGGAAAGUAGAUUCUUUGGGAAAAACAAAUUCAUCCUUUCAUCCAGAGAACAAACAAACGACAGACUUGUCCUGAAAGCUAACAAGCAAAAUACGAAAUGACUAAUGGUUCGUUUUCAUCGUGUGGGAGCAGAUAUCGACACACACGUACAAAAACAGAACCUUUGACCCCCGAUCUUGGCCUUGUUGAAUUUAUUUGAUUGACCUUUAGCUCCCAGCAGCCUCCCAGGGCCAAUGGAGCAUUGACCUCUGACACAACAUGGAGGCUCAGAGAGUUUGGGCUCUCUUACCAAAAUCCCUUGUGGGCUGCCAUCUAACAGAAUCUUCAGUGAGAUGCAGUCUGGAGAGGGACUGUUCCACCGGCUGUUCUUAUUUCCACGGACUUAAAGAGGCCAGUAACUGACAUCAGCGCAGGUGUCGAGGCUGAUGGUGGAACAGGAAGGACUGAAGGGAAAAUAACCCGAAGAAAGUCCUCUGAGACCCGUCAGACCCCCAGCGUGUGUUGAUAUGUUGGCCGAACCUUCACUGCCAGAUCUCACACACUCUCACUGCUGUGCCCUCAUUAUGGUGGUUGUUAGGACUCAUGUCUGGACUGAAUGUGUUCCAGAUCGUAGCUUUGAGCAAAGAAUGCUUUGAAUGCACCGAGUGUGUUGUUUCCAAUUGUCAGG